rnacentral:tRNA from 1 species
GCAGUGGUGGUUCAGUGGUAGAAUUCUUGCCUUCCAUGCGGUAUCCCAGGGUUCGAUUCCCAGCCAAUGUA